rnacentral:rRNA from 1 species
ACUCCUACGGGAGGCAGCAGUGGGGAAUAUUGGACAAUGGGCGCAAGCCUGAUCCAGCCAUGCCGCGUGAGUGAUGAAGGCCCUAGGGUUGUAAAGCUCUUUCACCGGUGAAGAUAAUGACGGUAACCGGAGAAGAAGCCCCGGCUAACUUCGUGCCAGCAGCCGCGGUAAUACGAAGGGGGCUAGCGUUGUUCGGAUUUACUGGGCGUAAAGCGCACGUAGGCGGACUAUUAAGUCAGGGGUGAAAUCCCGGGGCUCAACCCCGGAACUGCCUUUGAUACUGGUAGUCUUGAGUUCGAGAGAGGUGAGUGGAAUUCCGAGUGUAGAGGUGAAAUUCGUAGAUAUUCGGAGGAACACCAGUGGCGAAGGCGGCUCACUGGCUCGAUACUGACGCUGAGGUGCGAAAGCGUGGGGAGCAAACAGGAUUAGAUACCCGUGUAGUCCCAU